GAUGAAGAACGUAGCGAAAUGCGAUAAGUAAUGUGAAUUGCAGAAUUCAGUGAAUCAUCGAAUCUUUGAACGCACAUUGCGCCCCUUGGUAUUCCGAGGGGCAUGCCUGUUCGAGUGUCAUUAUAACCCUCAAGCUCAGCUUGGUGUUGGGGCCUGCUGCACUGGCAGCCCUUAAAAUCAGUGGCGGCGCCAUCUGGCUCUAAGCGUAGUAAUUCUUCUCGCUAUGGAGUCCUGGUGGAUGCUUGCCAUCAACCCCCAAUUUUUCUAUGGUUGACCUCGGAUCAGGUAGGGAUACCCGCUGAACUUAAGCAUAUCAAUAAGCGGAGGA
rnacentral:misc_RNA from 1 species